rnacentral:rRNA from 1 species
UGGAUCCUACGGGACGCAGCAGUGGGGAAUAUUGCACAAUGGGGGAAACCCUGAUGCAGCGACGCCGCGUGAGUGAAGAAGUAUUUCGGUAUGUAAAGCUCUCUCAGCAGGGAAGAAAAUGACGGUACCUGACUAAGAAGCCCCGGCUAACUACGUGCCAGCAGCCGCGGUAAUACGUAGGGGGCAAGCGUUAUCCGGAUUUACUGGGUGUAAAGGGAGCGUAGACGGCAGAGCAAGUCUGAGGUGAAAUCCCGCGGCCCAACUGCGGGACUGCUUUGGAAACUG